rnacentral:rRNA from 1 species
AUCUUAGCGGCGGACGGGUGAGUAAUGCUUAGGAAUCUGCCUAUUAGUGGGGGACAACAUUUCGAAAGGAAUGCUAAUACCGCAUACGUCCUACGGGAGAAAGCAGGGGAUCUUCGGACCUUGCGCUAAUAGAUGAGCCUAAGUCGGAUUAGCUAGUUGGUGGGGUAAAGGCCUACCAAGGCGACGAUCUGUAGCGGGUCUGAGAGGAUGAUCCGCCACACUGGGACUGAGACACGGCCCAGACUCCUACGGGAGGCAGCAGUGGGGAAUAUUGGACAAUGGGCGCAAGCCUGAUCCAGCCAUGCCGCGUGUGUGAAGAAGGCCUUAUGGUUGUAAAGCACUUUAAGCGAGGAGGAGGCUACUUUAGUUAAUACCUAGAGAUAGUGGACGUUACUCGCAGAAUAAGCACCGGCUAACUCUGUGCCAGCAGCCGCGGUAAUACAGAGGGUGCAAGCGUUAAUCGGAUUUACUGGGCGUAAAGCGCGCGUAGGCGGCUAAUUAAGUCAAAUGUGAAAUCCCCGAGCUUAACUUGGGGAAUUGCAUUCGAUACUGGUUAGCUAGAGUGUGGGAGAGGAUGGUAGAAUUCCACGUGUAGCGGUGAAAUGCGUAGAGAUCUGGAGGAAUACCGAUGCGAAAGCAGCCAUCUGGCCUAACACUGACCUGAGGUGCGAAAGCAUGGGGAGCAAACAGGAUUAGAUACCCUGGUAGUCCAUGCCGUAACGAUGUCUACUAGCCGUUGGGGCCUUUGAGCUGUAGUGGCGCAGCUACGCGAUAAGUAGACCGCCUGGGGAGUACG